rnacentral:rRNA from 1 species
GCGAAGUCCGUGGCAGCGGGGGGGGGAAUAGGGGGGGGGGUGAGGUUGUUGGGAAUUACGGUGCGUAAAGAGUGCGGAGGGGGUUUGACAAGUGGGGGGGGAAAGUCCUGGGCUCAACCCGGGGACUGCGCUUCAGACUGUUGGGCGAGAGGCCGGAAGAGGGUGGUGGAAUUCCGAGUGUAGAGGUGAAAUGCGUAGAUAUUCGGAGGAACACCGGUGGCGAAGGCGGCCGCCUGGUCCGGUACUGACGCUCAAGUGCGAAAGCGUGGGGAGCAAACAGGAUUAGAUACCCGGGUAGUC